AUUGAACGCUGGCGGCAUGCUUUACACAUGCAAGUCGAACGGUAACAGGGUGCUUGCACCGCUGACGAGUAGCGAACGGGUGAGUAAUGCGUCGGAACGUGCCGAGUAGUGGGGGAUAACGCAUCGAAAGGUGUGCUAAUACCGCAUACGUACUGAGGUAGAAAGUGGGGGACCUUCGGGCCUCACGCUAUUCGAGCGGCCGACGUCUGAUUAGCUAGUUGGUGAGGUAAAGGCUCACCAAGGCGACGAUCAGUAGCGGGUCUGAGAGGAUGAUCCGCCACACUGGGACUGAGACACGGCCCAGACUCCUACGGGAGGCAGCAGUGGGGAAUUUUGGACAAUGGGCGCAAGCCUGAUCCAGCCAUGGCGCGUGUCUGAAGAAGGCCUUCGGGUUGUAAAGGACUUUUGUCCGGGAGCAAAUGCCUGGUGUUAAUAGCACUGGGAGCUGAGAGUACCGGAAGAAUAAGCACCGGCUAACUACGUGCCAGCCGCCGCAGUAAAAC
rnacentral:rRNA from 1 species